UGGGGAAUAUUGCGCAAUGGAGGAAACUCUGACGCAGCAACGCCGCGUGAAGGAUGAAGGUCUUCGGAUUGUAAACUUCUUUGAUGAGGGACGAAGGAAGUGACGGUACCUCAAAAACAAGCCACGGCUAACUACGUGCCAGCAGCCGCGGUAAUACGUAGGUGGCGAGCGUUGUCCGGAAUUACUGGGUGUAAAGGGCGCGUAGGCGGGGAUGUAAGUCAGAUGUGAAAUACCAUGGCUCAACCGUGGGGCUGCAUCUGAAACUAUGUUUCUUGAGUGCUGGAGAGGAAAGCGGAAUUCCUAGUGUAGCGGUGAAAUGCGUAGAUAUUAGGAGGAACACCAGUGGCGAAGGCGGCUUUCUGGACAGUAACUGACGCUGAGGCGCGAAAGCGUGGGGAGCGAACAGG
rnacentral:rRNA from 1 species